CAAUCAUCUAGCUGCAAGAUCUUCCACCAUCAUUGCCAUGAAAGAACUAGCGAUGGACCUAAAUAUUAUGACCGACUUCACAGCAGCAGCAGAUGUCUGAAAUAAGGUUCACUAAUUUUUUCA